UCUGGUGUGCAUCAAUCAAGGGUUACAUGUAGUUCUACUUAUGCCCAGCCCGGCAAGGUAGCGGGUAUAUAUGGAAGAAGCUAUGUUGUUAAUCUGUUAUAUCGUGAUUUAAGACCAGCAAAUGGCUAUCUUCAUGCAAACAGAGUUAGGCAUUAACUGA